GGUGAGCUCAGUGCAAUGGCAGCACAUCUGUUUGGCAUGCAGAAGGUCCCGGGUUCAAACCUCGGCAUCUCCA
rnacentral:tRNA from 1 species